rnacentral:lncRNA from 9 species
GAGCGGGACCCGGAAGUGGGGGGCUGCGGCGGGAGGUGAGGGCCGCCUGCCUGGCCGGACCCCAGGGGUGUCGGACGGUGGGCAGGGCCUCCUGGGAUCCCUGAGGCGCCGGCAGGAGGAGACGCCCUGGGGUCGGUGCCUCCACCUUCCCGUCCGGGCGGUUACAGCUUUCCCGCGUUCGCUGUCAGAGGCAGGGACCGGCGACCUCGGGGGCCUGGUCCCUGAGCCACAGCGGGGAGUCGUCCGAGCAUCUCGGGAUGAGGAAGGAGCCUGUGACUGACUACAGCAGGAGAGCAGGCGUGGCAUGGAUCCCGUGCAAGCCGGCAGUGGAGACCCAGCGCCUGAGAGUGACGUGGGGAACUAGCAGGAGCUAGAAGUGACUUAGGACGAGCUUUUGUAAAGCUGAGGUGUGAGUGUAAUAUCAGGAUGAUUUGACUGCAAGCAACAGAGAAUCAAACAGAAAUGGCCUAGGGAGUCCCUUCGUGGCUCCCCAGUUAACAAUCUGACUGGAUCAUGAGGAUGCAGGUUCAAUCCCCGGCCUCUAUCAGUGGGUGAAGGAUCUAGUGCUACCAUGAGCUGUGCUGUGGUGUAGGCUGGCGGCCGCAGCUCCAGUUGGACCCCUAGCCCGGGAACUUCCAUAUGCUGUGGGUGCAGCCCUAAAAAGCAAAAACAAACAAAAAAAUGAAACAAAACAAAACAAAAAAUCCACAAAAAAAUCAGAAAUGGCCUAAACAAAGAAGAAAACGUGUUAUCCCAUACUACAAGAAGUUUGGGGAUUGAGUGAGUGGUUAAAUGCAUGAUUAGUUUAGAAACUUGACAGCACCACCCAGGACCCAUUUUCCCUAAGGCGCUGCUGCCCCCCACCCUGUAGGCUUAGCCACCGCAGCAAAGACACCCCCCUUCCCCAACCAGAGCCCUGCGUCAGGACUGGAAGGGGCCUCCUUCCCUCCAUCCCCUUCCAGAACCUCCGCAGAAGACUCCCCUUGACGUCUCAUUCCAUCCCAUACUGGUCACUUUGCAGGGGAACGGAUUUACCAUGGUGGCCAGAGACAAUUAAGUCGCCCCCAUCUCUGGAGAACACUUGACCACUCAGUACCCAGCAACUCGGGUACUCCUGGCAAGAAAGAGACAGGUGAUACCCACUGGGUCCUGUCCACAGCGCCUGCCCCCAGCAACCUGUCUACCUGGAAAACUGAGGGGGUGCCACGCGGGUCUGUGUCUUCUCUGUAGUUUGCCCGAGUCUUUCCCAUUAGGUAAGUGUCGCCCUUUUCCCUCUUUGCGGCUUUCCUCCUUGGCACGUCACCCAGGUUUUGUUCAGCCACAAGGGGCGAUAGGCUGAAAGAGGAAUCUCCAGGCCUAGGUGAUGGGCCAGCCGUGGUGAUCCUCACCCGUUUGCCUGGGCACCGUUUGGGAAACGUCCCCCUGCUCACCACGGAGAUGAAAGACCAGGUCCCUGGAGGGGCUUCGCGGAAGGAUUUUUCUCCCCAGUAAAGCGGCAGACAAGCCAAGGGUCCGCCGCCCUACGCGCCGUCUGCCUUGAGCCGCCGCCAGCUCACAUCCUUGAGCAGAAACGUUGCAGGGAGGCAGAAAGCGCCGAGUCUCAUGGAUCGUGCUGAGCGUUGCAUCCACCCAGGACUGCUUACCUUCAGACUUCUGCUCCGGUGGCAGAGCAGCAAACCCCUAUUGUGUAAGCCUUUGUAGAUGGCUGGUGCCACUUGCUGCUGAAAGUGACAGAUAAUCUUUCUAGGAAUAUAACCCCUAAAGCCCUUUAUGGUAACAGAUGCACUUAGAGAAUGUAGUUUUCUUUCUUUUUCUUACUUAAAAAAAAAAAAAAAAAAAGCUGAAGUCUGCCUCAGGCAAAAAGACAAACUGAAAACAUAUGUAUGCAUAAUUGAAGUGCAAUCAAUAUUCAUUAGAAAAUGAACGAAUGUUCUUCAGGUUACUUUAAUAGUUUUCUCGGGAAUCUGUUUUUGGAUACGUAUGUCAGCUACAAUAUUUGGCACUUCCAGGAGCUCUGUGUUGAUGUCCUUCCUAGAAGUUGCACUUCUGCGCAUUUUUCUGCGCCUUUGGGGUCUCAGAUGUUCCUGGAAGGAAUCACUUUUCACUCCCCUGGCUUUUCCCUCGAACAGGUAACUUGUAACUUGCUGUUGCCUAUAGAUAUCGAGCAUUUGUCCAAAAAUAUGUUCCUACAAUACCUUCCUGUCUCAGCCAUUCCAUUCACAAGACAGUUUAAACAUUUCUCCAUGCUAUUCCACAGAUCAUUCAUAGAGGAACCAUCUGAACCAUGCAACAAAGUCUAGAAACUUUUAUGACUUUUAACUUCCACGACAAGUUAUCAUGUACUUGGUACCCUCAGCCAGGUACAUGUUAAGCUCAGGUUUCAUGUAUGUUAGCGUGGAGCCAUAUUUCCUUGUGGAUAAACCUAUAGAUUUAUCCCCACCCCCACUUCCCUUCCCAGAAGUAACUGUUGCCUUGACAACAGGGUAAGGACAGCAGUGAUGACGGCUGUGAUAACGAUUAUGAUAAUGAUGGCAGGAGAAACUGUAUGCUGGCCAUUAUCUAAGCACUUUACAUGCAUUAGCUCCUUUAACGCCCAAGGAGGCAUGUGACAGAAAUGCUAUUUUUAUCCCCGUGUUAGAGAUGAGGGCUGAGGAAAGACUGGUGAGGUGCCUUGCCCAAGGCCACACGUCUGGUCCCCAGAGAAGCCAGGCUUCCUACCCAGGCAACCCAGGGGUCCCAUACACUGUCGCUGCCUGAUAGGUAGCAGUGGUGGUGAUACACACUUCCUCUAGGUACAUGCGCAUCCAUAAUAAAGACGCAGUAGACUUAUUUGCAUAUUUUAAAAAGUGUAUGGUUUCAGAACAUUUGUUGUUUUUCCCUGUUAUGAAUCGUGUCGCAGUAAACGUCUCGCGUGCAUCAC